rnacentral:sRNA from 1 species
AUUCUGCCCAAACGGGGAAGGAUGAGAAGCUUCGACCAAGGUUCGACUCGAGCGCCAGCGAGAGAGCGUUGCCGCAGGCAACGACCCAAAGGGCGAAGCGCGCAGCGCUGAGUAAUCCUUCCCCCACCACCA